rnacentral:rRNA from 1 species
CCUACGGGUGGCAGCAGUGGGGGAUAUUGCACAAUGGGGGGAACCCUGAUGCAGCGACGCCGCGUGGGUGAAGAAGCGCCUCGGCGCGUAAAGCUCUGUCAGCAGGGAAGAAAAUGACGGUACCUGAAGAAGAAGCCCCGGCUAACUACGUGCCAGAAGCCGCGGUAAUACGUAGGGGGCAAGCGUUAUCCGGAUUUACGGGGUGUAAAGGGGGCGCAGAGGGGGGAGCAAGCCAGGAGUGAAAGCCCGGGGCCCAACCCCGGGACUGCGUUUGGAACUGGGGGGGUGGAGUGCAGGAGGGGCAGGCGGAAUUCCUGGUGUAGCGGUGAAAUGCGUAGAUAUCAGGAGGAACACCGGUGGCGAAGGCGGCCUGCUGGACUGCAACUGACGUUGAGGCCCGAAAGCGUGGGGAGCAAACAGGAUUAGAUACCCGAGUAGUC